rnacentral:rRNA from 1 species
UACGGAGGGUGCGAGCGUUGUCCGGAUUUAUUGGGUUUAAAGGGUGCGUAGGCGGCCGUAUAAGUCAGGGGUGAAAGUCUUCUGCUCAACAGAAGAACUGCCUUUGAUACUGUAUGGCUUGAGUGCCGUCUGGGUACAUGGAAUUUAUGGUGUAGCGGUGAAAUGCAUAGAUACCAUAAGGAACACCGAUAGCGAAGGCAUUGUACUGGGCGGCAACUGACGCUGAGGCACGAAAGCGUGGGUAGCGAACAGG